rnacentral:rRNA from 1 species
UAUAGCAGCCAUAUCACCCUGCAGCCCAAGACUGGUUGCCCACUGAAGCUAAGCAGGGUUGAGCCUGGUCAGUACCUGGAUGGGAGACCUCCUGGGAAAACUAGGUUGCUGCUGGAA